rnacentral:rRNA from 1 species
UGGGGAAUCUUGCGCAAUGGGCGAAAGCCUGACGCAGCAACGCCGCGUGAGGGAAGACUGCCUUCGGGUUGUAAACCUCUUUCAGUAGGGACGAAGCUUCCAGGGUUAAUAGCCUUGUGGAGUGACGGUACCUAAAGAAGAAGCUCCGGCUAACUACGUGCCAGCAGCCGCGGUAAUACGUAGGGGGCGAGCGUUGUCCGGAAUCAUUGGGCGUAAAGAGCGUGUAGGCGGCCCGAUAAGUCUGGUGUGAAAUCUUGAGGCUCAACCUCAAGCUGUCAUCGGAUACUGUCGGGCUAGAGUCCGGAAGAGGAGAGUGGAAUUCCUGGUGUAGCGGUGGAAUGCGCAGAUAUCAGGAGGAACAUCCGUGGCGAAGGCGGCUCUCUGGUACGGUACUGACGCUGAGACGCGAAAGCGUGGGGAGCGAACAG